CUGAAACCUUUUCUACGAUUUACACAUACAAGGAAUUUGCUUUCGUAUUAUGCUGACUGUCCGUCCGGCACAGAAGUUGCAGAGCAGGUGCACGUUAACCGUUGCACUCGAUCUUCUGCCAACGAAAAUGUCGAGCAGCCGUUUAAAAGAGUCGUGGAUUGUUCUGGAUAAAAUAUACGAAAACCCUCACUUGGGAUGAAUGUUACGCCGUCCGCGCCAUCGGCUGGCUGUUUCCAACGAUGGGAGUCCGAGAUGGACGAUUUCAGUCCAGUGGAGAAGGAUCCUGUAGAUCCAAAGGACGAAGAAUGGUGUUUUUCUGCUGCUUCCUCCCCUUUGGAUCUGCAUCCACCUUCCAACGCCCCACUCCCAUCCCCCUGCAACAUCUUGGUCACCACCCCGAUUUAGAGCGCCCGUUCCCAUUUGACGCGGGUGUGGCUGCUGCUGCUGCUGCAGCUGUAGCCAAAGGAGGUACAGACCAAGGAGAUACAGGCCGAGAAGUCACAGGCCAAGAGUACCAUCAUGGCAGCACCUUCCUGUGGCCACCCAGCCUACCAAGUGGUACCAGGUUGUCGGGAGCAUGCAGUGCAGCCACUGCAGAACCCAGGGGAGGCACCAGACGACGUCUUGGAUGUGCCAGAGCUGCGAGGGGCCCCCUGUGCCUGGUGCCACAUCGGAACUGCUACGCAAAAUGGCACGGCCUUCAUAGGACGAAAAGCAGUGAAAGUUUAUUCUCCCAUGAUGGGAUGAGUUCUUGUGUUAGUGCGACUUUUGUCAGCCUGUAGGCUUUUCUUGUUUCUCCUUUACUCUCAAAUUUGUAGUUAACGUGCAACGUGCUGAUUAUUGUAAUGCAAAAUAUUAAUGUGGCUUUUCAAAGAGGGACACCACUUGUUUUUACUUUCUCUGAGUAGUUCCUUAAACAUUACAAGAAAAAUGAUCUUUAAAAGUUGCUGUGGGGGGUGGUCAACAGGUUUGCACUCCAUUGUUAUUUGUAUAUUCCCACUUUUGCGAUUAUAUAUUUUUAGGGAAAACAACUGUAUUCUAUACUCGAUAUUCUGUUACUUCUAUUAAGUUUCCCUAUUUCUGUAAACGUUAAUUGCUGAUUCAAUUGCAGAGAAGAUGCAUGUGGUUGUUUUUUUCUUUAUUUUUAUACUAGACCACUUUACAUGUGGGUGGCUGGAUAUUGCAGUGAAUAGGGUAACUGAACAUUAAUAUCUAGAAGUCAUACAAUGUAAUGAGAUGUCAGUGAGAUACACAGUUUACCAGCUGCAAGAUGGCUGCAUGAUUUCACUAUUAAGUGAGGGUGGUAAAGAACAUACCUGCUGUAACAACAGCAUUUACUUUGGGUUCAAAGUGAAUAUCAUAUGAAUGAAUAUGGGAUCACUUCAGACAUUUCACUUCAGGUGAUGUGUCUGGGGUAUUUUUAGAUACUGUCAUAUUUUAUUAACAAAUGACCCAUGAGAUUCUGCGUUAUAUCCACGCUCUGCAGUUAUUUGUGCAGCUUAACUUUUCAAGGUUAUUCGUUGUGUCGCUUGCACUGCUGUCACUGUUAAAGAGGCAUUCAGAUGCCUCAAGGAAAAAGUAAGAAAAAAAUACAAACACUCAGAAUUUUGUUUAAGUGAACGUACUUCAUAAAAGUAUCAAAUGUAAAAGCAGUUAUCAUUUAGAAUGGCCUCUUUCAGAGCCUAUUAAUUAUUAAUACACUGACGUGUAACCAAUAUGUAUUUGAAUGUUGUAGUUGGUGCUACAUUAAAUUACUGUCCUGCUACAAACUA